rnacentral:rRNA from 1 species
UGAGGAAUAUUGGGCAAUGCCCGCAAGGGUGACCCAGCAACGCCGCGUGGAGGAUGAAUGUCGUAAGAUUGUAAACUCCUGUUAGAGGGGAAGAAUAGUACCGGUUGGACCGGUAUAUGACUGUACCCUCAGAGAAAGCCCCGGCUAACUACGUGCCAGCAGUCGCGGUAAUACGUAGGGGGCAAGCGUUGUCCGGAUUUACUGGGUGUAAAGGGCGCGCAGGCGGGAUAAAAAGUCAGUGGUGAAAUCCUACAGCUUAACUGUAGAACUGCCUUUGAUACUUUUAUUCUUGAGUUCGGGAGAGAGAGACGGAAUUCCAGGUGUAGUGGUGAAAUACGUAGAUAUCUGGAAGAACACCAGUUGCGAAGGCGGUCUCUUGGUCCGACACUGACGCUGAGGCGCGAAAGCGUGGGGAGCAAACA